AGUAGUGACGGUGGUUGAGGAGGGAGGAGUGGCUGUAUGAUGGCAGUAAGGGUGACUGGACGGUGGUUGAGCUCCACUAAUGGAAACAAUAACGACAUAAGGCAACAAGUAGUGAUAUCUAUAAUUUUGGGAUUUGGGUGAUAGUAAAAUAAAAUAAAAAUUUAAACAGGUACCAAAUAUGAAAGAAGAGGUCAUUUCAGUGGUAGCAAUGUCAAAAUUCCAAAUCCAUUUUGUUAACAAAAAAAAAAAAAACAAUGACACACAUGUAACUAGAUGGGUAUAAAUUAGAAUCCGCAAAAUCUCCAACAUCAAAACCCCCUCUUUUUCUCUCUCUUAACAUCUUCACUCACUCAGUCGCACGCUCUCCAAACGGCGGGAAAACGGAAGUUUUUUGGCCGAAAAUCUCAAAUCUUCAUCCCUCCAAAACACCCCCAAAUCCCCAAUUUCAAACCCUAAAUUAACAUUCUCACUCACUAUUUCAUCCUCCUUUUCUCUCUCCUCUUCUUCUUCAAUGGCGUUUCCUGCGUCGCAAACCUUGAUGCAGGAAAAUUGCCAUGAACAAAAUCACGAACAACAGCAGCAGCAGCAGCAGCAGCAGGAACAGUUACCAGAUUCGCAGAAAUUGGGGUGUGCUGAAGAUAUCGAUAAUCAUUAUGCCGGAACUCCAAUCAGGUUUCUUCCUCUUCGCCAUGUUUACUCCGCUACUUCGCCUUGUGUUAGUGCUAGUGGUUCUUCCAAUGUUGUUUCGAAGAAGGUUCGAGCUCGAAAGCUAACCCUAAUUGACGACUGCUUGGGCGAUCAUAUUUGUCAUCAGUUAGAGGAAGGGGAGGAGAAGGAGGGGAUGAAGGAAGGGGUUAGUAAGGAAGUUAAGGGAGAAUUGUUAUCGGAUUCGUCGCAGGUGAUCCGUGUUUAUUCUCGCCGGGGAAAGAAGAAUUCGUCGUUGCGGCUUUGUGAUUCGAAGGUGGAGAAAUUGGACGGUGAGGGGGAGGGAAUUGUGGUGAAAGAGGAGCCGGUUGAGGAUGAGGGUUUUGUUGGGGAUGUGUUUGUGGGGUUUCCGAAUAAGAAAAGGCGACUCGGGAAUUCGGAGCUUGUGAAAUUAGGGGUGGAUUCGAGUGUUUUGUGUAGGUUGAAUGGCCCCAGAUUAAGGGAAUCGCGGUUUCAGUACAAUGUAAAUUCUAAUAAAUCUGCUGUAAAGAAAGGGAAGCAAAAUUCUUCGGCUAAUCAAAAGAAUAACAAUGAUUCUCGGGCGAAAAAAUGGUUCCUGUUAACUUUUGAUGGUGUUGAUCCUAUGGUAUUUAUUGGCUUGAAAUGCCAGGUUUAUUGGCCAUUGGAUGAUGUAUGGUAUAAAGGGUCUGUAUCUGGCUAUGAUGCGGUAUCGAAAAAGCACAAUAUUAAGUAUGAGGACGGUGAUGAAGAAGAGCUGAUUUUAUCACAAGAACAGAUAAAAUUUUAUAUGUCAAGAGAGGAAAUGCAGAACAAAAACCUUAAAGGGAAAGAAUAUACGGCUGACGAUGAUCCUGAUUACAGUCAGUUGAUGGGUUUGGCUGCUAGUGUGGAUGAGAGUCGAGACCUUGAGCCCGGGGAUAUAAUUUGGGCAAAACUUACAGGUCAUGCAAUGUGGCCUGCUGUCAUUAGUGAUGAAUCACUUGUUCGUGACCGCAAAGGAUUGAACAACAGCUCUGGAAAAAGAUCAAUUCCUGUGCAAUUCUUUGGAACUCAUGAUUUUGCAAGAAUACAGGUGAAACAGAUAGUAUCCUUUGUAAAAGGACUGCUUUCUUGUUUUCAUUUGAAGUGCAAGUCCACACGCUUUCUUCGAAGCUUGAAAGAAGCAAAAUCGUACUUGAAUGUGCAGAAACUUCCUAAAAGCAUGUUGAACAUGCAACGUGUAUCCAUGGAUGUUCAAACUGUUGAUUCAGAUGAAGCUUCAAUGAAGGAUGAGGUUUUUUCAUUUUCAAAAGGGCCAAUUAAACUCCCUUCACGUAAACUAUUGCCUGAAAGAUUCCAGAACAUGCCCAGUGGUUAUUGGCCUAUUCGUAUCAAUUGGAAAGAUCUUGAUAGAUGCAAUGUGUGCCACAUGGAUGAGGAGUACGAGAACAACUUGUUCCUGCAGUGUGAUAAAUGCAGAAUGAUGGUUCAUGCCAGGUGCUACGGGGAGGAGUCUGUUGAUGGUAGACUUUGGUUGUGUAAUCUGUGUCGAGUUGGUGCACCUGAAUCUACUCCACCUUGUCGUCUCUGCCCUGUUGUAGGUGGAGCUAUGAAGCCUACAACUGAUGGUCAUUGGGCUCAUCUAGCUUGUGCUAUCUGGAUUCCUGAAACGUGCUUAUCUGAUAUCAAGAAGAUGGAGCCCAUCGAUGGCGUCAGCAGGAUUAAUAAGGACCGCUGGAAGCUCAUUUGUAGUAUUUGUCAUAUCCCUUAUGGAGCUUGCAUCCAGUGCUCUAACAACACCUGCCGUGUUGCAUAUCAUCCACUCUGUGCACGUGUUUCUGGCUAUUGUGCUGAGCUUGAAGAUGAAGACAAACUUCAUCUCAUUUCUGUAGAUGAAGAUGAGGAGGAACAGUGUAUUCGCCUAUUUUCCUUCUGCAAAAGACAUAAGCAGCCAUCUAAUGACCGUCCAAUCGUGGAUGAGGCAAAUGGGAAGAAGUCUUGCCAGCAAUUGAGCUACAUCCCCCCAUCUAAUGAAUCUGGCUGUGCGCGCUGUGAGCCUUAUGAUUAUUCUGCCCGAAGAGGACGUAAAGAACCGGAAAUCCUUGCUGCAAAACGUUCAUUUUUGCUUAAUAUGCCGCACCUGGUUGGUUGUUACUACGUACAUGAGAUUUUGGCUCGCAUGGCAAUGGAGGACAAUGUGGAUAAUGGCUCUAAGUCAACUUCAGGGAUUCAAAAUGUAUCUUCAAAUCAGGAAGCUCUGCCUAGCAUACUUUCGAUGGCUGAUAAAUAUAGAUACAUGAGGGAGACUUCUAGGAAACGAUUAGCGUUUGGAAAAUCUAGAAUACAUGGAUUUGGGAUCUUUGCAAAGCAGCCACAUAAAGCUGGAGACAUGGUGAUUGAAUAUACCGGUGAACUUGUAAGGCCUCCAGUGGCUGAUCGAAGAGAACACUUAAUAUAUAAUUCAUUAGUUGGUGCUGGAACUUAUAUGUUCAGGAUUGAUGAUGAGCGUGUCAUUGAUGCUACGCGCGCUGGAAGUAUUGCUCAUUUAAUAAACCAUUCUUGUGAACCCAAUUGUUACUCCCGAGUUAUAACUGUUAGUGGUGACGAACAUAUAAUAAUUUUUGCGAAAAGAGAUAUUGAACAAUGGGAGGAACUGACUUAUGACUACAGGUUCUUUUCUAUUGAUGAGCAACUUAAAUGUUAUUGUGGUGCUGAAAGAUGUCGAGGAGUAGUUAAUGAUAUUGAAGCUGAGCAGCAGGCUGCUAAGCUAUAUGUUCCUCGCAGUGAGCUGAUAGAUUGGAAGGGAGAAUAGGAGCUCAACUUGUGUUAGAUAUUUGUAGUUGGGAGCAUCCCAAUCUUUCCUGAUGGACAGGAGUAUCCUGUUGCAGAUUUUAUACAUGUUUGGCGCUCUUGUGCUCUCCUUACCAGGUUUACGCUUACUCUUUGAUGAUAUGUUUAGAAGAGAGAUUCUAACAAUAAGAGCGGCUGAUGAGUUUUAUUUUUAUCUGUAUUAUUAUUGUUUUAAAUACGCGUAUCAAGUUUAAGAGGGAAUCAGGAAGAGAGUUCUUGUACAUGGGAACUUCAAUUGCUAGUAGAACUAAUUAGUUUGCACUUGUUGUGUUAAGUAACCACACACUACCAGUUACAAUUGUACAUCAUAAUAACAACUAAUUGAGUGUUUCUUAUUUAUUGUCAUGGUUAACUACCUAUC